UACGGGAGGCAGCAGUGGGGAAUAUUGCACAAUGGACGAAAGCCUGAUGCAGCUAUGCCGCGUGUAUGAAGAAGGCCUUAGGGUUGUAAAGUACUUUCAUCGGGGAGGAAAAACAAAACUAAUAAUUUUAUUUCUUGACGUUACCCGAAAAAGAAGCACCGGCUAACUCCGUGCCAGCAGCCGCGGUAAUACGGAGGGUGCUAGCGUUAAUCAGAAUUACUGGGCGUAAAGAGCACGUAGGUGGUUUUUUUAAGUCAGAUGUGAAAUCCCUGGGCUUAACCUAGGAACUGCAUUUUGAAACUGAAAUACUAGAGUAUCGUAGAGGGAGGUAGAAUUCUAGGUGUAGCGGUGAAAUGCGUAGAUAUCUGGAGGAAUACCUGUGGCGAAAGCGGCCUCCUAAACGAAUACUGACACUGAGGUGCGAAAGCGUGGGGAGCAAACAGGGAUUAGAUACC
rnacentral:rRNA from 1 species